rnacentral:rRNA from 1 species
GACGAACGCUGGCGGCGUGCUUAACACAUGCAAGUCGAACGGAAAGGCUCCAGCUUGCUGGAGUACUCGAGUGGCGAACGGGUGAGUAACACGUGGGUAAUCUGCCCUGCACUCUGGGAUAAGCCUGGGAAACUGGGUCUAAUACUGGAUAUGACCUUUCUCCUUAUGGGGUUUGGUGGAAAGUUUUUCGGUGUAGGAUGAGCCCGCGGCCUAUCAGCUUGUUGGUGGGGUGAUGGCCUACCAAGUCGACGACGGGUAGCCGGCCUGAGAGGGUGAUCGGCCACAUUGGGACUGAGAUACGGCCCAGACUCCUACGGGAGGCAGCAGUGGGGAAUAUUGCACAAUGGGCGGAAGCCUGAUGCAGCGACGCCGCGUGAGGGAUGACGGCCUUCGGGUUGUAAACCUCUUUCAGCAGGGACGAAGCGUAAGUGACGGUACCUGCAGAAGAAGCACCGGCUAACUACGUG